rnacentral:rRNA from 1 species
AGUGAACGCUGGCGGUAGGCCUAACACAUGCAAGUCGAACGGCAGCACAGUAAGAGCUUGCUCUUACGGGUGGCGAGUGGCGGACGGGUGAGGAAUACAUCGGAAUCUACUUUUUCGUGGGGGAUAACGUAGGGAAACUUUCGCUAAUACCGCAUACGACCUACGGGUGAAAGCAGGUGAUCUUCGGACCUUGCGCGAUUGAAUGAGCCGAUGUCGGAUUAGCUAGUUGGCGGGGUAAAGGCCCACCAAGGCGACGAUCCGUAGCUGGUCUGAGAGGAUGAUCAGCCACACUGGAACUGAGACACGGUCCAGACUCCUACGGGAGGCAGCAGUGGGGAAUAUUGGACAAUGGGCGCAAGCCUGAUCCAGCCAUACCGCGUGAGUGAAGAAGGCCUUCGGGUUGUAAAGCCCUUUUGUUGGGAAAGAAAAGCAGCAGGUUAAUACCCCGCUGUUCUGACGGUACCCAAAGAAUAAGCACCGGCUAACUUCGUG